UGAUGAUGAUGCUGGUGAUGGUUAUGAUGAUGAUGAUGAUGAUGCUGAUGCUGGUCUAGUGCAUCCUCAUCGUCAACAUCAUCAUCAUCGUUGUCA
rnacentral:pre_miRNA from 13 species